CUAUCCGUCGUGGGCGUUGGAAGUUUGAGAGGAGCUGUCCUUAGUACGAGAGGACCGGGAUGGACAUACCGCUGGUGCACCAGUUGUUCCGCCAGGAGCAUAGCUGGGUAGCUACGUGUGGAAGGGAUAAGUGCUGAAAGCAUCUAAGCAUGAAGCCCCCCUCAAGAUGAGACUUCCCAUCUGUAAAGAGUAAGAUCCCUCAGAGACGAUGAGGUAGAUAGGUUCGAGGUGGAAGCAUGGUGACAUGUGUAGCUGACGAAUACUAAUCGAUCGAGGACUUAACUAA
rnacentral:rRNA from 1 species